rnacentral:rRNA from 1 species
UACAGGGGGUGCAAACGUUGCUCGGAAUCAUUGGGCGUAAAGAGCUCGUAGGCGGUUCGUCGCGUCGGCUGUGAAAACCCGGAGCUCAACUCCGGGCCUGCAGUCGAUACGGGCGGACUAGAGUUCGGCAGGGGAGACUGGAAUUCCUGGUGUAGCGGUGAAAUGCGCAGAUAUCAGGAGGAACACCGGUGGCGAAGGCGGGUCUCUGGGCCGAUACUGACGCUGAGGAGCGAAAGCGUGGGGAGCGAACAGG